AUGCUUAGAUCAGAGCACAUGCAGGGUAUUACUGAUGCGGUAGGUGAUGGGUGUGUUGAUGUUAAUGCUCUUGGGAAGAGGACCAUUGUACCUUCCAGUCACAUAGGCGGUCGUCGUUACUUCCAUGAAAAUUUCCAUGAUGGCCUUGCCGUUUGUCGGGUGCAUGGUGCGCCUGACAUAUUUACCACUUUCACUUGCAAUCCCAAGUGGCCUGAGAUAACAAGUGCAUUGGAACCAGGUCAGACGCCUUCUAAUAGGGCGGAUAUUGUUGUUAGGGUCUAUCACAUGAACCUCAUCAAGUACUUGGACGAGAUCAAGUCAGGCCGGGCUUUUGGCCCCAUUACGGCUCUGUUGUAUACCGUUGAGUUCCAGAAGCGGGGACUGCCUCACGCGCAUAUAAUUGUCUGGCGGAGAGGGGGUAACGGUGAGAUUGGUGUUGAAAAUAUUAAUUCAUUAAUAUCUGUUGAAAUACCUGAUGCAUUGCUCGAUCCUCUAGGAUAUGCUUUAGUUUCUGAGUUUAUGAUGCACGGUCCGUGUGGUGAAAUGAACGAUAAAUGUGUCUGCAUGAAAAAGGGUGUUUGUUCUAAAUAUUUCCCAAAAGAUUUUAGAGAUACCACUGUCAUUGAUGAUAAUGGGUUUGCCUUAUAUCGACGUCGUCACGACGAUGGUUGA
rnacentral:rRNA from 1 species